GAUGAACGCUGGCGGCGUGCCUAAUACAUGCAAGUCGAGCGAACAGACGAGGAGCUUGCUCCUCUGACGUUAGCGGCGGACGGGUGAGUAACACGUGGAUAACCUACCUAUAAGGCUGGGAUAACUUCGGGAAACCGGAGCUAAUACCGGAUAAUAUAUUGAACCGCAUGGUUCAAUAGUGAAAGACGGUUUUGCUGUCACUUAUAGAUGGAUCCGCGCCGCAUUAGCUAGUUGGUAAGGUAACGGCUUACCAAGGCAACGAUGCGUAGCCGACCUGAGAGGGUGAUCGGCCACACUGGAACUGAGAAACGGUCCAGACUCCUACGGGAGGCAGCAGUAGGGAAUCUUCCGCAAUGGGCGAAAGCCUGACGGAGCAACGCCGCGUGAGUGAUGAAGGUCUUCGGAUCGUAAAACUCUGUUAUUAGGGAAGAACAAAUGUGUAAGUAACUAUGCACGUCUUGACGGUACCUAAUCAGAAAGCCACGGCUAGCUACGUG
rnacentral:rRNA from 1 species